CAAAUUGGUGGCUCUGACCAAGUACGACUUGGUGUGAAGAGUCCUUUCUUCAUGCUUCGCUCUCCAGUUGCAUCUGCUUCGUUGUUUAGUUUGUUCGUUAGUUUGCUUGAACCGUGCUCGAUUUGGUAGUAUGGUUUACUGGUUGUGUGAGUGUUGAUGAUCGUCUGUGUGUUGUGCAGCUGAUCUGUGGAGUGAAGGACCUAAGGGGGAAGUACUGUGUCGUUGUGAACUACUGCGGUGAAUAGGGACGGAGAGCUUGACACUGUCUGUCUCUGAAGGGUAAUGGAGAACGAUCCAUCUCUCUGAAAUUGGAGAGAACUGAGAGAGCUUAGGUUUGACCUUUCUAUGUCACCUAUGACCUUGAAAGGUGUGACUACAACAGACGGAUUCUGGUUACGCCUUUUUUCAUUCUCUCAAGCUCAGUGAUGGAAGGGUUCAGUUGAACUCAACGCUUGGCUUCCGAAUCUCAAUAUCUUGGGGAAAAUCUAGAGCUUGAAAAAUGGAUUACCCGAGCGCCGUAAACCUCACUAGAGCCUUGUUCAUUUUUUUAUUUGCAAAGUGAAGACAUCGCCGCUUGCUGUAUUCAUGAUCAGAUGGUAUAAGCAGCCCAUGUGAGUUUUUCGACGCCAAUAUGAGCCAUGCUCGCAUGACACAGACUCCAUCACAUAUCAUGGCCUGGUCUCUGGAAUUUUUCUCUAGAUCUGGCAGUGAAUGUUGCUUUUAGACCUAAAUUUAACUGAUCUCGCAGCGAAUUGUUUUGAGGAAUUCAAUCCCUACUAAUCCUUGCCUAUCCUUACUACCUUAGCCAGGUGUCUUUGGGUUUAAAAGUUUGGGUAUCUUACUUUGACAUCCUUCUCGGUAGGGAAUGACUUAUUUCUAAUCAGCAAAUAUCGCCCAUGAGAAACUUCUUGAGCAGAGCCUGCGGACACCAUAUGUGAUUUGUUUGUGCAAGAUAGUCCCAAACCUUUGAAUUUUAGAUGUACCAGAGACUACCACAUAAAUCACAUCCAAGUAAUCUUCAAAAAUGUCAAUGUCAUGCAAUUUAUCCUA